GAUGAACGCUGACAGAAUGCUUAACACAUGCAAGUCUUUGGCGAAGCUGUGCUUGCACAGCCUAGCCAAGGCGGACGGGUGAGUAACGCGUAAGGAACUUGCCCUGCAGUCAGGGAUAGCAGACGGAAACGACUGAUAAGACCUGGUAAAGUCAGGCGGACUCAUGUCCAGCCUGAUGAAAAGAGAUGCUGCAGGAGAGCCUUGCGUCCUAUUAGCUUGUUGGUGGGGUAACGGCCCACCAAGGCGAUGAUAGGUAGCCGGCCUGAGAGGGUGGACGGCCACAAGGGGACUGAGAUACGGCCCUUACUCCUACGGGAGGCAGCAGUGGGGAAUAUUGGACAAGGGGGGCAACCCUGAUCAAGCAAUUCUGUGUGCAAGAUGAAGGUUUUCGGAGUGUAAAGUGCUUUCAGCAGGGAAGAAAAAAAUGACGGUACCUGCAGAAGAAGCGACGGCUAAAUACGUG
rnacentral:rRNA from 1 species